rnacentral:tRNA from 1 species
GUGGCUGUAGCUCAAUGGUAGAGCACUGGACUGUGACUCCAGGGGUUGGGGGUUCGAUGCCCCUCAGCCACCCCA